UGUUAGGUGGAAACAGAUGAUUCCCCUCUGCUUGAGUUGGUGCCUGGAGCACUUCUUACCCUGUCGCUCCAGUGCAAAAGGCAGUGCCUCAGCAGCCUGGCCUGUUACAGCUCUACGGGGCUCAGGAGCGCUGGACAGGGCACCUUCCGGUGUCAUCCUACACCUAGAAGAGAAAACAUUUCUGCUGAGCAAGAGUAAAACCCCGCACUGUGCGGUAGCUUCUCAGUGAUGGCCUUUUGCUCGUGAAGCAUUCUUCCCAUCGUUGGACAUUUCUUGCUGGAGCCUGGAGAACCAGCAGAGAGAAGACUUUCUCCUCUGUCCUCUUGGCUCACGUGUUUGGUGAAGCAGGCAGCCAUGGCGGAGGGGCCCACUUGGCAAGGCACUGGGGGUUUGUGUUCCACAACCCACAGGAAACGGAUUCCUGACAGCAAUCGUGUGAGCUUCAGGAUGGAGCCUUCCCAGUUGAGCCUUCAGGGUACAUGUUCAUCUCUGGAGAAUUUAACAGUCUACCUAUAAGCUGGAAACUCCGUAAGAGGAAUUUUAAUGGUGCCACUGACUUUCCACAGACGAUUAGAAACUGAUCCCAGGUAUUCUGUGUAACUGCUUUGGGCCUUACCUCCGGAGCUUCGCAAACAGGAGAUACUUGGAACAUGGAUGAAUGGACCACUAGGAAUCUCGUUUAUUGUAAAUUAAUAAAUGCCUUGUAUGAAGCA